GUGUCAGCAGCCGCGGUAAUACAGAGGUCUCGAGCGUUAGGCGGAAUCACUGGGCUUAAAGCGUGUGUAGGCGGGUCGUUAAGUGCCUUGUGAAAUCCCAUGGCUCAACCAUGGAACUGCUGGGCAUACUGGCGAUCUUGUGCAACCUAGGGGCGAGCGGAACAGAUGGUGGAGCGGUGAAAUGCGUAGAUAUCAUCUGGAACGCCAAUGGUGAAAACAGCUCGCUGGGGGUUUGCAGACGCUGAGACACGAAAGCCAGGGGAGCGAACGGGAUUAGAUACCCCUGUAGUCC
rnacentral:rRNA from 1 species